rnacentral:rRNA from 1 species
UGGUGGCGAUAGCGAAGAGGUCACACCCGUUCCCAUACCGAACACGGAAGUUAAGCUCUUCAGCGCCGAUGGUAGUUGGGGGCUGUCCCCCUGUGAGAGUAGGACGUUGC